AGUUUGAUCCUGGCUCAGAAUCAACGCUGGCGGCGUGCCUCAGACAUGCAAGUCGAACGCGAAAGUUCCCUUCGGGGAGCAAGUAGAGUGGCGUCCGGGUGAGUAACACGUAGGUAAUCUACCUUCGGGUGGGGAAUAACCCAGGGAAACUUGGGCUAACACCGCAUAAUGCAGCGGCACCACAUGGUGACAGUUGUUAAAGCGGGGGAUUUUCGAACCUCGCGCCUGAAGAGGAGCCUGCGGCGGAUUAGCUAGUUGGUAAGGUAACGGCUUACCAAGGCGACGAUCCGUAGCCGGCCUGAGAGGGCGGUCGGCCACACUGACACUGACAUACGGGUCAGACUCCUACGGGAGGCAGCAGUCGGGAAUUUUGGGCAAUGGGCGAAAGCCUGACCCAGCAACGCCGCGUGAAGGAUGAAAUCCCUCGGGAUGUAAACUUCGCAAGAAUGGGAAGAAUGAGCGAGCGCUAAUACCGUUCGCGAUGACGGUACCAUUUGUAAGCUCCGGCUAACUCCGUGCCAGCAGCCGCGGUAAUACGGGGGGAGCAAGCGUUGUUCGGAUUUACUGGGCGUAAAGGGCGCGUAGGCGGCCAGCGCAAGUCAGUUGUGAAAUCUCCGGGCUUAACUCGGAAAGGUCAACUGAUACUGCGCGGCUAGAGUGCAGAAGGGGCAACUGGAAUUCUCGGUGUAGCGGUGAAAUGCGUAGAUAUCGAGAGGAACACCUGCGGCGAAGGCGGGUUGCUGGGCUGACACUGACGCUGAGGCGCGAAAGCCAGGGGAGCGAACGGGAUUAGAUACCCCGGUAGUCCUGGCCUUAAACGAUGGAUGCUUGGUGUCUGGGGUUUUAUAGUCCCCGGGUGCCGCAGCUAACGC
rnacentral:rRNA from 1 species